CCUCCUGAAACAAGUAAUCAAGAAUAGGCCGUGCUGCCUGGUAACAGCCUAUCCUGGAUUACUUGAACCGGGCU
rnacentral:pre_miRNA from 13 species